UUUUAAUAUUAUUUUUUAAAAUUAAUAUUUUUUUAUUAUUUAAAAAUUUAUUUUAAACUCUUAGGACUCUAUACCAAACACCCACAACCCCCCUCCGACAUGACCUAUGGCUCCUCCGCAUCACCCACAACCCACAUAUUUUUUUAAAUUAUUUUUAAAAAUAAUAUUUUAUAAUUAUAUAAAUUAUUUUAUUAUUACUUUAAAAAAAAUUUCUUCGUUCGUUCUCC
rnacentral:lncRNA from 1 species